rnacentral:rRNA from 1 species
GAUGAACGCUGACAGCAUGCUUAACACAUGCAAGUCUUUGGCGAAUCUGUGCUUGCACAGGCUAGCCAAGGCGGACGGGUGAGUAACGCGUAAAGAACUUGCCCUGCAGACAGGGAUAACAGACGGAAACGACUGAUAACACCUGAUACAGUUGCCGGCACGCAUGUGCCUGGCAAUGAAAAGAGAUGCUGCAGGAGAGCUUUGCGUCCUAUUAGCUUGUUGGUGAGGUGACGGCUCACCAAGGCGAUGAUAGGUAGCCGGCCUGAGAGGGUGAACGGCCACAAGGGGACUGAGAGACGGCCCUUACUCCUACGGGAGGCAGCAGUGGGGAAUAUUGGACAAUGGGGGCAACCCUGAUCCAGCAAUUCUGUGUGCACGAAGAAGGUUUUCGGAUUGUAAAGUGCUUUCAGCAGGGAAGAAGAAAGUGACGGUACCUGCAGAAGAAGCGACGGCUAAAUACGUG